GGGACUAAUUGCUCCUACUGUAAGUUAUUUCUCUGUUCAUUUCAUCAUGCUAUUUGAGGAUAUAUGGAUAUUUGCAGCCAACUAGUUGUUCGCCUAUAUAUUUAUUUAGUUUCAGGAUAACCGUUUUGCACCAUGUAUACCUUAUAUAUGGAGUCAUUUUACUCAAGUCUACAUCGUUGAAGGCAUUUUCCCCUUCACAUCAGUUUUUUUCCCCCUUUGGUAAAUAUUGAAAAUCAAGUUUUUAUUUUUAAGAUGGCUGGUAUGAUUGAAUCUGGUUUGAAGGGCUGAAGUGUGAUUGUGAUACAUAUGGUGAGAAAUGUAAGACGGAGAUGGGAAUGAGAUAACUGUGCUGUAAAUAAUCAUAUUUAUAUGGUGUAUAGCCCUGCAGUUGAUACGUAUCAACUCUGUUGGUGGGUUUUAAGGCUCAUAAUAUGAUUUAGAAGUCUUCUUAUGAAUUUGUUAUGAUGUCCUAUUUGGGUCACCUAUUCCUUAGCCAUUUGUGGCACUUCCAGUGCAACUCAUACUUUCUGUUUAACAUGACCAAAGAAAGCCUUUAUUAUAUGCCAGUUGAUUCCGAUAGGGAUUGAUUUUGUUUAUCCUACUAGAUUAUAUAAGUAAUAAUCUUUUUAAUUGGAUAGUGUCGCCUUCUUUAUAUGAUAGGUUAAGAUUGUAGCUGCAGAAAUUGUUUGGACUCACAAAUUCUUACCUCUGUGGGUCAGAACUUAUUCUUUGUACUUUAAGUACAAACAAAUUUUGAAGAGUUCAUUUAUGAUAAUAGAGUCUUUUGAUACACUGAGCAAUCUUAAAAUUUCAUGUGCUUUAUCUCUAAAAUUAUGUUAGAAAUUAAAAAAGCUUCCCAAAAUUGGGGAUGGACACUUGAUCAAUUGGCAAGAGAAGGAAAAUUAUAUACACAAGAAAUUGACAUUAAUAAAUUGUGUUAUAGUUUGGGUGUCUUUGACUAGUGUGCCAAGUAAUAAAAAAUUUAUGGUCAAAUGAUGAGGCAUAGGUGGGGGAGAAUGCGGAGAGAAUGAGAGCAGCUGUUGCUUUACCACAUAAGGGGCUAGUCCAUCUGGAACAAAGAAUUCUUUUCCUUCUUUUCUUCUUACUAACUCCUAAUCCCCUAUAAAUUGGAUGCAUGAUUUCUCUGAUAUGUACAGUAUAAUCCAUAUUUUAUACUCAUUGGAAUUCAAUCUUGAUUUAUAGAGCUGAACUCUUUGUCUCCUUGGAAUUGUCAUACAUGUUGAAUUGUUUUUUCAUUGGCAGCUGGAACUAAAAUUAGGUCUUGGUGGCACCUCAUAUGAGGAUUUCAUACGUAGCAUGCAUUUGCCGAUGCAGCUGAGUCAGGUGGAUCCCAUUGUGGCUUCCUUUUCAGGUGGGGCAGUAGGUGUCAUUUCAGCCUUGAUGCUGAUUGAAGCCAAUAAUGUCGAGCAACAAGAGAAGAAAAGAUGCAAAUAUUGCCAUGGAACGGGAUACUUGGCCUGUGCCCGAUGUUCAUCAAGUGGUGUGUGCUUGGGCAUUGAUCCCGUCUCACUAUCCAGUGCUUCCAAUCGCCCCUUGCAAGUACCAAAAACUCAAAGGUGUGCAAACUGUUCUGGUGCUGGAAAGGUAAAAGAAAAUAUGAAAAAAAAAGCACCAUCUAAUUCUUCCUGAAAUAUGAAGUGGAAAUUUUCAAGUUCUAUUGGUGCAUUUGUUCAAAAUUCAAACUUCUUCUAAGUUGUAGCAAUAUGGUGUUAAAUGGUCUGCUAGCUACAUUUGUUGGAUCACUCCCAUGUUAGUUAUAGAAGUUCGGUUCCAAUGCAAAUUAUGUUUGUGGCUCAGUGAUUCUUUGGUUUUAUGGUUUAUAAGGUAGUUUGUGGUUUAUCUAUUCUAGCUCAAAAAGGAAAUGAUGAUGUUGAUGUUGGCUGCAUUUGCAUAGAGACUAAUCCAACCAUGAUGAGUACAUGUUACUGAUUUCUUGUGUUUGCACAUAUAAUGUUUGCAGCAUAUCAUUUGUGAUAUCUACUUUCUACAGUUGACAUGAUCUGUUACUGUUCCACUUCUAAUCUCCAGCAUGGCAAUACAUAGAAGAAAGCUAAUCAUUCUUUAUUCUUACCUUACAAUGUCCAAUACUCUGUCAUUGUUAAAUUAGGUAAUGUGCCCUACAUGCCUGUGCACUGGGAUGUUGAUGGCAAGUGAACAUGACCCACGAAUUGAUCCAUUUGACUAGGGAGGAUUGAGGAACACUCACUUUGGGAAUGUAACUUUCUAGUAUGUCUUUAAUGUUUAUUUGGCACAAAAUUUAGGAACAAUCUCGUCUGUCUCCGAACCCCUGAAAGUAGAAGUUGUAAGAAAGGAACAGGUAUAUAUGCACUGGUUAAGAAAGGUAUCAACAGAGUGUCUAUAAGCAUGCAAACCAGCAUGGUGGAAGCUAAAUGUCUGGCUUGGAGAAUCCUGUUGUGCACUCAUCCCUGCGAAGAACAGGCAGUUUACAGAAUGUGCGAUUACCUUGUGAAAUUAUUGUCUGAAGUAGUGGAUUUGCUGGGUUUUGUUUCAUGUGCUGUAAUUUGGAUCCGCUAUUGUGAGAGAAAUAGAAAUUUGUUUGGUGCAUU
rnacentral:misc_RNA from 1 species